AUUUGCAACACUGUAAUAAAAACCAGGCUGGGUGACCCAGCACCUCAGACCACUGCUUGACCCUCAACACAGAGCCUUGUCUCGUUCUUGGGGGGAUUCACUGUAUGCUGUUAGAGACUGAUUGCCAGGAGUGUAAGUCUGCUUUUCCUGUUCGUCUGCUAGCAGCUAUUUGGGAGGUUCCAGUUCGGGAGUUGGAGUGCUAUUUUGUAUCCAGUUUGGGAGUUUGGUGUUCUGCAGUAGCUGUGCCUGUAUCUCUGGAAAGGGGGCCGAUCGCCUAAACGGUUUUUACCCCUUGUGUGCAAAACGGUCCGUUACACUGGCCAUCCCUGAUUUUGUGAUCGCUUUUGGCUUAUACAGGGACGUCAUCUGUUCUGUCUUCCCUCAACGCAGAGAGGAGCUGGACCUUUACCUCCACAAAUUGGUGGACGUAGGCAACAAGUACGGAGGCUACUCUUUCUAUGAUUAUCAUAGGUCAUUCUCGGCGAAGGCGGCGACAGCACUGGUUCAGUUUAACAUAUGCUCAGAUUGGAGCCAACUAGCUACGGAACUGUUCUGCCGCCAUUUUGCCGGCCUCAAGCCUCCGUCUUGUGCCAUUUGCACAUCAACUGCACAUUCCACCAAUCUGUGCCCCUCUGAACUGAGCCAACCCUCCACUAGCCACGCAGAGCCCACCCCCAAAUCAUAAAGGAUGACCAAGGACAAACUGGGCAGGCCCAUCAUCUUCCUCGGUAAAGCACAGAUAUGCAAUAACUUCAAUGCGGGAGGCUGUAGCUUCAGCGCUUGUCAUUUGUGGCAUAUCUGAUCCCUUUGCUUUAGGGCAAACGCGAAGACCAUGUGCACUAAUCGGCUUUUCCCUAGACAAUGACUCACGGAAAUGAAUGUUAGCAACCUCACCUAUUAUCUCUCCAACCACCCCUCCCCUCACUUGGUCGAGUUCCUUACCACAGGGUUCACGGUAGGAUUCCACACGGGGCUAGUGGCAAUUCCGGGGGGCACCCUAGAAUGCAGGAACCUGCAAUCAGCCAUACUAGACCCUGUCACCACCGAGGCACUGCUCACAGCAGAGAUCGACCACAGGUUCAUGAUAGGCCCAUUUUCAC